CGUAAAAGAAACCUGCCUCAUAGACUGGGACAACUAUUGGAAACGAUAGCUAAUACCGGAUAACAGUAUUUCUUCGCAUGAGAGAUAUUUAAAAGUUUGGUUAUGCUAACACUAUGAGAUGGCUUUGCGGUGCAUUAGCUAGUUGGUGGGGUAAAGGCCCACCAAGGCGACGAUGCAUAGCCGACCUGAGAGGGUGAUCGGCCACACUGGGACUGAGACACGGCCCAG
rnacentral:rRNA from 1 species